rnacentral:ncRNA from 1 species
CCAUAUGCGUUGAACGGGAGGAGUACAAUCCCCACUGCAUUCGAGAGAGGGAAUCGGCUGGUGGAAGAUUCCUAUGCAGCGGAUUGGAAGGUCGCCCGGGAGUAGCUUUUGCGAAAGACGUCGCCGUCGAUUAGCAAAAGCCGGCGGAUGCCGUUAACCGAAGGAGUGCCGGAUGCAGCCGUCUGCAUCCGUGAAAAAAGGUGGUACCGCGAAUCCCAUUCGUCCUUUUG